rnacentral:tRNA from 1 species
GGGGCCGUUGCCUAGCCAGGCAAGGCGUCGGGCUCCAGAGGUCAAAGAGGGAAUUGACCGCGAGGGAUGAUGAACCUCUGGAGCUGGGGCAACCCGAAGAUCGGGGGUUCAAAUCCCUCCGGCCCCACCA